CCUGAGAAACCCAAAAGAUCGAAUGGGGAGAUUCAUCGUCAGCUCAUUUUGUAUAUGUAUAAGUUAUGAUNCGGGUUACUACUUGUAGUAUUGCCUGCACAUUCUUGUAUAUUUAGUUGCAAGAUGUUGUCGGCGUGCACUUCUCCCCUAGUAGGACGUCGCGACCUGUUGGGUGUCGGUCUACGGCCCAAGUGAUAGCCUUUAAUGUGUAAUUUAAAAAGCAUUGAAGAUCCUUGGUGUUUUCUGACCGGCUACUUGGCAGUAUUCGUACGGUAUUUAGCCGCUAAAUUUAUUAAGCGUCCAUAUCCGUCACAAGCGAGGCUAAUUUACUGAUAGUACGGACCUAGUGCCGUCGUUGGUAUUGGCCAGCUGUUGGUUGUAUGGUAUUCUAGGACUGGCUAAAAUUAAUUACCGGUCGGCGAUGCUACUGCUUUGGGUACUUUCAGG
rnacentral:rRNA from 1 species